rnacentral:lncRNA from 1 species
GCUCUCCUGAAAGCCUCGGAGGCCCAGAGCGGGGAGCAGCGGGCCUGCAACCAGGGAACCCUGAAAGGAAGCGGGUCCUCUGUAAGAUGGGGCUGCAUCCCUGCCCCGCUCCCAGCAGCAUGGGGUCAGAUGCAAAAACUGAGGCUCAGGGGAGUGAAGUGACCCAUCCAAGGUCCCACAGCUUGUCCGUGGCAGAGCUGGGUUUCAACCCCAGGUAAGUCCAGAAGCCAUGUUCACUAUUGGCCCUUCCUAUGUCAGGGGCUCAGGCUUGGUACCCCCUCCCCGCCCAGGGACUUGUGGGGCUAGGAGGGAUAGCAGAGCAGGCAGUGGGUGGGCGCUGGAGGGGCUGGCUGGGGUGGGGGGCCCACCAGGAGGCUUGGAGAGCCGAGGGCAGAUCUGCUGCCAAAGCAAACGGCCCCACAGCCCCAGAUUCCUGGGAACCAGCUGCGGCUCCCUGCUCUGGCCAAGAGCUCCACCCUCCUUGGCCGCCCAGCAGCAGGGGCUGGCGGGCAGGGGCAGGGCCUGCUGGGGGCCCCAGGCAGGAGGGCUCGUCCUCUCAGGGCCCCCCUUCCUGACCAGGCAACAGAACCGGACUCGAAAUCUGGGGCCCCACCCGGCUCUGCUACUCCCUUUGCGUGUCUCUUCAGUCUGCGCCUCAUCCCCCUCAUCCCAAAUGGGAUUAUAUAGGACCCCCAUGUUGGGUUUCAGGGAGAAACCAAUGCAGUGCUGCACAUCCAAUCACUAUUGAGUGCUUCUCCUUCGUCCGUAACGUUCAGCACGGAGAACAGUGCCUGGCACAUAGUAGGUGCUUAAUAAAACGUGCUGAAUGAAUCGUCGCCAGUGUGCAUGAGUCCAUAGCCUUUGGCCCAUCUACCGCUGUGAGGGCAGCUGAGUGGGGACUGGCCAUCCCCUCUAUGCCACUGCAGUCUCACCCUGAACCAGGAGAACCUGGGCUCUGCCACCUGCCAGCCAGCGUGCACCCUAAACAAGCCUAUGCCCCUCAAAGAACCUCAGGCCUCUUCAAUCCUGGGGAGUGACCACAGCUGGCCCUAACCACCUUCCAGAGCCCAACUGCAUCAAAGAAAGAGCACUACAAGGCCCCGGGAAGGCCUGAUCAACCCUGGAAGGAGCUGGCCGCAGACAGGCCUCCUCCCAGGACUGGAGGGGGAGGAGCUUAUCCUGAGGCCUGGCCCAGCAGAUCCCAGGAGAGGGGCCAGGGCAGGCGGCACUUCCUGGAAGAGUGGGGGAUUCACCGUCCCUGGGAACCUUUGGCUCAGUAGGCAGCCCCUCCCCCUCCCAAGACGGGGCACUCAGCCAGCACCCCCGGACCUUUUGGGAGGGCAGACCCCCUCCCGGGGUGGGAACACAAGGGGUCCGAGGUGACCCAGCCAGGGCUGACCUCUGCCCUCUGCCGUGGGGUCCUCGGGAAAGCACCUGAAGAUGGGAUGUGCCAGGGAUCUUUUUUCUGCGUGUUCACAGAGUGUGCCCCAGGGCCAGGCUGCCUGGUUACAGCCCCCUGUGCCACCCCUGGCUGUGGGAACUCAGAAAGGCCCUGCUGUCUCUGAGCCUUGGUUUCCUUGUAGGUAACAGACACCACGGCAAUGGUCCCUGGGACUCAGGGCAUCUUGCAAGGGAGGGCCUUGUCCUCAUGCCUGCCAUAAAGAAGCUGCCAGCUACUGGUAACCUAAAGGAUUCUUGUUUCCGGCCCCAGGCUGGGGGUUCCCUGCACAGCAACUUGGGCCUGCCAAGGUCACCCAGAUAAUUCAGGCAGAGCUGAAGCUGGAAGACGGGCCGGAGGGCUUCCCUGGCCUGCACCAGCCCGGGCUUCCUAGGAGAUGCCCCACCAGAGGCACUUCCUUCUCCAACGCCAGCAGGGAGGGUGACACCGGGCUCCGGGAGCCCCGGCACACACACGCACACUCACACAGAUGGCCAUGGCAGUCCAGCUGCAGGGCCGGCCUGGCACAGAGGCCUCCCCAUCCUGGUGGCUCCGGGCCCCUGCUGCAGUGGCCUCCACCCCCCCGCUGCCUGCCCGCUGCUGCACCUUUGCACAACUAUGUCUGGUAUUUUCCUGUCUGCCCAGCUUUGGGGGGGUGCUUGGAGCUAUGAUCACCGCCUGCACCUGGGCCCCAGCCAGAGGAAAGCCCGCCCCGCAGCCCCCACACCUGCCCACCCACCCGGGCUGGGAGGGGAGGGGACCAGAGCACUGGGCCCUGCCACCCAAAUCCCUGGGAGGGGCUGGCACCAGGGAGCGAGACAGGGAUGCACGCCCAGCAAGGCUGGGGCACAGACAGCCCAGGCCCUGCCAGGCGGCACUGCCAUUCUCAGCAGACCCAGCCAGAGCUAUCUGAGGCCAGCAAAGGGAUGGGCCAGUGUAGCACAGGACAUGAGCAGGCACCCACAGCACCCCCGGAUGUACAGACACCUGUGCACAAAUGUGGCACACACAGGACAUCACAGUAACCCCUUGCCCCAGUGUCGGGGCCAGGACUCAGGAGCCUUGGCUUCUGGGGGAGAGCAGGGAUGAGGCCGGGUCCCCAGAGCGAAGGAAACACCGCGCCUCCCAAGCCACGCCUGGCUGCAGGCAGAUCCCACAAGGAGCUCCUAAGUCCUGGGGGGUCGGGGCAGGCCCGUGGCCCACGCCUCCCCUGCCUGGGGCCAGGUACCAGGUCCACUGGGAACGGCACCCGCCAACUCCGAGAGCAGGAGUGGGUAAGGCGGGCGGUGGACCUUGGCCUGCCCUCCUGCCUCGGUUCUCCAACCACGCAUUCAUGCAUUCCAACGCCAGGCCCUGCUAGAUCGAACCGGACCUUGAGGGUGCCCCGACCAAGGUGGGGUGGGAGAAACAGUGUAGGGGGGGGGCUGCUCCUGCAGGGGGUUGGGCACAGAUCCGGGUCAGCCUCAUGGAUAUGGGGUGAAGAGCCUUGGGGAGGUGGGAGCCCUGCGGGUCGGCGCCCGGUCAGCAUGCCUGCUGCACACAGUCCAUCACCCUGAUGACCCCGCGAAUGGAUGCCAUUUUCCCCAUUUUCCAUGUGGGGAAACCUGCCACUGUCACAGCCAGCAAGGGGCACAGCUGGGUUCGCCAGCAGACCCCAAAGCCCAGUGCCACAGAGGACCAGAGGCUAUGGCCCGGCUGAUCUGCAGUGACCCUACCAGUCAUGGAGUAGACGAGGAGGCAGGAGAGAAAGAGGCCCCUCAGAGAGGCUGGGACAGAACCUAGAGGGCACUGGGGAGCCACAGAGGGCUCUACACAGAAGAGUGCCACCUGCUCUCUCAGCCCAGAGCCUCCUGCCCCAGGCCCUCUCCUUUGGCACCCCCCUUCCUCAGGAUCCCCUGCCCCCUGGGAACCUGAUGCUCCCAGGUGCCAGCUCCUCCCUCACCACCAUCCAUGCCCCCCUGUUCUCUUUCCUCCAGCCACCAUCCCCUUCUGCCCCCUCCUCCACCAAGUGCUCCCUGGUUCACCCUCCCCAGCCUCGGUUUCUGGAGCUGCACACAGGCUGUGGGUCCAGGUACCUGAGGGCCUGCUGGGCAAAGACUUGCCUCUGUCCACCCCCGCUGGAGGCAGGCUGUCCCGGGUCCAAGUCCUUGCCAAUGCAUCACUGAAGCCAGUGUCACCUGUGCACAGCGUGGUGUACACAGCGCCGACCUUCAGCCCCAGGCCUCCCACUGGCCCUGGUAUCCAGAGCCUCCUUCCAAGAAGGGAGCCUGGGAGUGGGCCGGGACAUGUCUGGGACGCCGGGCAGCUCCAAACCCGCUGUGGCUACUGAAGAGAAGGCCUCACCAGCAGACCCCUGCCCCAGUUCCCACGGCCCCUGGCACGGAGCCCACCCCAUCCACCAGAGUGAACUGGGCAGUGAGGCAGGGAACCCAGAAUGAGAAAACUAGGCCUGGGUUUCCCCAUCCACAGGAGGGGGCCUGCUGAGAGGACAGCCGAAGCUCCAACAACCCCAACCACUCAUCUUAGGUGGCACAGUGGUACCUGCCCUUCACAUAUCCCAACACCUGGCACUCCGCGAAUGAGUCCGUCUCAUUCAUGUAUUCAUUCACUCGACAGACAUUCCCGCCUUUACCCCCAAGUGAGGAGGGGAGGGGUAGGUAUGGAGGGGUUCGUGCCCAAAGAGGAAUGUGACUUGCCCAAGGUCAAGGCUAGAAGCAGGGGCUGGUCUCCUGACAUAGAUGCCUCUUUCUCCCUGUCCCAGGCAAGGGACCCAGGAACAGAGCUGGACAAGGGUGUGGUGGCCCCUAGGAACCACCCUGGCCAGCUGGGAUGGUGGGAAGGGCCCAGAUCCCCCCCAGCUCCAUCUCCUGCCACGCCCUCCCAGCCCUGGCCCCCAGCCCCAGAUAGCUGGGCAAGAGCAGGCCCAGCAGGGCACCGCACACACAGGACUCCAGCCCAUGCCCUCCUCCUCAGCCACCCGCCCCUCUCUGCUCGCCUACUCUGGAAGAAAGCAAGUCCAGAAGCCGGGGACAGCCUCCAAAGCCAUCGAGGUCCUUUUCCUUCCAAAGGGGAACACCCACUGGCAGGAUCUGCCAGGCCUGGUGGCUCCAGGCCCUCGGGGCCCAGUGGCCCUAGAACCAAGCAGGGUGACCACUAGGUGCUCCGGGGGGUGCUGGGGGAGGCCGGGGCUGGCAGGGAGACGAGCACCAGCACAGGGUUGGGGGGACUUCAGAAUAGGGAGGACAAUGGAGGCCCCUACAGCCUUGCGGGGAGGGGACAUCCCAGCUCAGAGUCGGUCUGCCUGGAAGUUGGGGUGGGGAAUGGGGGCUCUGGAUGAAGGUGGGAGUGGCCCAGGGGAGAACUGGCCCAGGCAGGCCGGGACUUGCUAGACAGCCCCAGGCAGACGAUGCAGGGAAGGGGAGAGGCUUCUUCCAGACACGUUGGCCCCCGUCAUGCCCUUGCAGUGGACGUGGGGGGCAGGAGUGGAGCUGGGGGGAUUCCCAGGCUAAACCGACAUUUCAGGGGUCAGGGCCAGACAGCCCCAGACUCCAGUUCCCCUCUGUUCUUCCCCGAUUGGGAGUGACCUCGGGCCAAACCCUCAAAUGUCUCAGAGCCUCAGUUUCCCCCCACCGGCCUCCGACGACCUCUUGACUACCAGGGUCCAAGCGAGGCUGCCCUGGGAGCGUGCUGUGCCAGCGGUGGGGACCCUCCAUGUGACGGGCAGGACUGUUUUCCGGAGGCUCCCGGCCGGGGGCUGACUCAGUCCACUCAGCGGUCUCCUGGGGCCUCUGCUGGCUUCCCACCCGCCCUUGGCCAUGACUGGAGGAAGGGGCCAGGGCUGGGUCUCCGUCCCUUCCCCGGCAGCCAUCUGCCAAGGCUGGAGUCCGUGUGCACGCACAUGUGACACUCACAGGCCGGCCCCUCCCUGCGGUGGGCACUACCUGGCCUCUCAAGCACCGAAGACAAAGGGCACGAGGAGCCCAAGUCACCCGCCCCCCAGCCAUCGAACUGGAAGAGUCUCAGCCCCCACCCAUCCCCCAGCAGGGGCUGCUGGGGCAGAUGGGAAGCCCCCACCCCUCAGCUGGAAUCACUUCCCAUCUCCAUGCCCCCCAGGCCCACUUAGCCUGGCCACCAGCUAACCAGAAUCCUCCAGCCCAUCUGGGGGAGUGGGGGAGUGGAAGGCGAGUACCCGGCCUCCGUGCCUGCCCAGCCUCACCCAGGGGCUAAGCCGGAGCCAGGAGAGAAACCUGGGUCUCCUCCAGGCUGUGCCCUGCAGACCCUGCCACCAUCAUCACCAUGAUCCCUCUCCAGUCCCUGGGAUCAAAGCAGUGCCCCCACGCUGGCCCCCCAGCAGAGUACUAGAGGUGCUUGUUGGAAGCGCGGAGUCCCCGCCCCCAGCCACGCCUGACUUAGAAUUCACCAGGGUGGGGCGGAGGCGGCCACCUCAGAAACCACUGAGAGGCAGAUGUGGCCCGGGAGACUCGCUAGGGCUGUGGUCCCCACACCCAGGGCUGGCAGCAGGCUGGGGCAGGGCGCAAGUUCCCAGAGACGUGAACCCCCAGAUACACAUCAGGGCCUCAACCCAUCUCUGUGGACCCUUUCAUAGCCCCUGGGAAGGGAGGCAACUUAGGCAGAGGGUGGAGAGCAUCUUUCAGCUGGUCCCACAGAUCCCCUAGCCAGCAGGGAGAGGGUCUCUUACUGCUCAAUACACAGCCCCGCCAAGCUGGGGAUGCCCCCUACCCCUGAGAAGGGCAUUUAUCUGGGUGAGGGGAAGACCACCCAGGACCUUCCGGGGUUCCCCUGUGGUCUCAGUCACCUGCUGUGAAAUAAAGUAACAAUUAUAGCCAUGAGGAGAGGAAGGGAUUCAGGGGACACUUUUCUCUGCAGCCACCCCCGCCCCAAUUCCACCCAGCACAGGGCCUCUCCCAUGGAAUCAAUUUCCUCCUUAGGUGCCAGAGACCCCUGGGCCUCCCCUUAGAGGCAGGAACCUUCGGAGGCAGCCUCUGGGGCUGGGGGUCAGGCCAGGCGACCCACAAAAGUGCCUCCCCAGGAGCCCCCCCAAGAUGCCCCACAAGAGCUCCACAUCUGGUCCCCCAGUCACAGCUGUCGCCACCCUCCCUCAUCCAGAGAUUGCCCCAAACCCUGGCCGGCACUGGCCCUCACCCCCUGGUCCAAGUGGGGAAUUCAGAUUCCAGGCGAGUGGAGCGGGUGGCUAGAAAUACACAUGGGAAAUUGUUGCCGGGAAAACACAUUCUUCCUCCUAUAUGGCUGCCCAGACCCUGAGAGGAUUAGGUGGUGAGAGGACACUCCCACCGCCCGGGGCCAAGGCCAGGCCGGGAAGGAGGGUGGAGGGGAGAGUGGGGGCCUUGGAAAUGGGGUCCAGGCCUCCCUCCAGGCCCCAAGAAGGGGCCCUGGGAGACCUUUGUUUUCCCUCCGGCCUGUUCACUCUCAGCCCUCUACUUGUCCUCCCUGCAAGGGGAGUUCAGGCGGGGGAAGAAAUCGCUGUGGCUACCCAGUUGCAGCUGGGUUUCUCAGAAACAAAAGCUUUGGGGGGACGCGGUUCACACGAUUGUUUGCAAUGAGGUUUUGGGAUGUCUGUGGCAUCCAGUUAUUCAUCCGGGCUCCACCCUCGGAUAAUUGAGAGUUGGCUUUUGCUGGAUUUACACCCUCUUUCCUCCCCCUGACCCCCCUCCACCCAGGCUUCUCAUGGACUCUGGGAGCUCACCUGGUCUGACCCCUUGGUUUCAUAGACAAGGCCGGGAGAGGGGAGGAGUCUGACCCAAGGACCACUGGAAGUUGGUGGUGGAGCCAAGACUUGAACCCAGGGCAGGAGACUCCCAGGCCAGGGGCUUUCCCCGGUCACCCUCCAAGCUGUGACUGGGCUCCAGCCAAUCCCCAGAAGCCACUGACCCCAAAAGCAGCGGUGCCUGGAAGUGGGGUGACUCACUGUCUGGCUUCCCAGGGCACCCCCUCCCCAUUGGUGAGGGAGGGACUGGCAGGUGUCCCUGUGUAGAGAGCCAGGAGCAAGGAGAGAACUCCCCAGGGGGCCUGGGCCAGGGUCACUCAGGGGCCGAAGAGCCCCAGCUGGAGGGAUUUAACACCAAAGGUCAAAGGUCACAGACAGGGAAGGGCGGGCAGGCACAGGGGGUCAGCGCUAAUGGCAGCUCCGGAAAGGAGGGGGAGGAGGAAAGGCUAAGAAAAACAGGGUUGCUUCCAAGGGGUCCGCACACCCCCCAAAACACCAUCCCAAGUCCCUGGCACUGUCUCCUGCUUGGCUGGCUGCAGACAGGGCCAAGUUGAGCUGGAGGUGGGCAGUGAAAUGGGCCAGGCUGGAGCUUGGCAAAGGGUGUCCUGGGAGGGGCCUCCCAGGUGCAGCCCCUCCCCCUGUGCAGGCCAGGCCAGCUAGGAGGCCCAGCCUGGGCUCUGGGGAGAAGGAGAAGCAGAGGGGGAGGUCCGAGGUCACCCGGGAUGGGUGUGUGGGCUGGGCCUGGACAGCUG